rnacentral:tRNA from 1 species
AAGGGAGACCUAAUUCAGGUAGGAGACGAAAAAAAAGUAGUCCCUACCAAGAAUCAAUCCCAAAAGGUCGGAGCGAGGCAAAAUUGGCUUUCAAACUAGGUUCUGGGUUCACACAAGACCUGAAUCAGGAACAAGGGCUAUUAGCUCAGGUGGUUAGAGCGCACCCCUGAUAAGGGCGAGGUCCCUGGUUCGAGUCCAGGAUGGCCCACCUGUACAGGUGGCAAAAACAAAGAAAAGAAGCGAGGAAUCAGCACCUUAUCUUACUUAUAUAGUAAGAGAGAAUGCUGGCUCUGAGUUCAGAGUCCAGAGGAACCUUGAAAACUGCAUAGAGCUAGGUGAAAAAGCCAAAAAAGAAGACCACAA